UGUCCAAAAUCACCCCGGCAUGUCCAAAGUGCAGCCCUCCGGCAUUUGCAAGACUGCACAUCCAAACAUUCCCUGAAACAGCAAUGCUAGGGAAUGUUUGGAUGUGUAGUGAUGCAAGUGCAGGAGGGUUGCAUUUGGGCCGCUGCAACCCGCUUGUGUUGUGUGGACUGUUGUAUGUACCUCUUUUUCCAGCCCCAGGGUGACACUAUCACCCAUAUCUGGAUGCUCAAACUUUUCUCUUCCACAGGUCCUGCGAUGUAUCUUCCCAAGUGGCGUGGAUGUGAGGAGACACGACAUUUCACCUGAUGUUCCAUGGGUGACCCUACUGGUGAUGUGGACCUGACCCUCCGCCAUGUAGCAGACAACCCCCCUCAGGUCCUGCGAUGUAUCUUCCCAAGUGGCGUGGAUGUGAGGAGACACGACAUUUCACCUGAUGUUCCAUGGGUGACCCUACUGGUGAUGUGGACCUGACCCUCCGCCAUGUAGCAGACAACCCCCCUCAGGUCUUCCGGUGUAUCCUUCCUAAGUGGUGUGGAUGUGAAGAGACAGUUCCCUUGAUGUUCCCUGGGCAAUCUACUUACGUACAAUUCAAAUGCAUUACAAAUUUUAAUAAAAACCACAGGAAACUUCUAUUUUUAAAAGUUUAUUGAAGAAAAUUUUUUAAUAAAGUUUGAAAGUUAAUUAAAAC